UACGAGGGGGGCAAGCGUUGUUCGGAAUUAUUGGGCGUAAAGAGCUUGUAGGCGGUUUGUCGCGUCUGCUGUGAAAAUCCGGGGCUCAACCCCGGACUUGCAGUGGGUACGGGCAGACUUGAGUGUGGUAGGGGAGACUGGAAUUCCUGGUGUAGCGGUGAAAUGCGCAGAUAUCAGGAGGAACACCGAUGGCGAAGGCAGGUCUCUGGGCCACUACUGACGCUGAGAAGCGAAAGCAUGGGGAGCGAACAGG
rnacentral:rRNA from 1 species